rnacentral:lncRNA from 1 species
UGAAUGAACGUUUUGAAAUAUGAAUGAAAUUUUAUGGCCUGUAUUUUAGUUUAAUGUUUGUAUGUUUGUCCGGUAACGCCUCAUACCUUAUCUCGGCCUCGGGUAUGGGUAAGGGGUGUUACAGUAAUCUAGGAAGUUCUUCAGUAAAUACAUCAGGGAACUCACAUACAACAGGCACUGAUUCUACUUUCUUUUCUAACACUCUCGAAUCAAUCACAUAUGCAAAAUAAAC